UACGUAGGGGGCAAGCGUUGUCCGGAAUCAUUGGGCGUAAAGCGCGUGUAGGCGGCCCGGUAAGUCCGCUGUGAAAGUCCAGGGCUCAACCCUGGGAUGCCGGUGGAUACUGUCGGGCUCGAGUCCGGAAGAGGCGAGUGGAAUUCCUGGUGUAGCGGUGAAAUGCGCAGAUAUCGGGAGGAACACCUGUGGCGAAGGCGGCUUUCUGGGCCAUACCUGACGCUGAGACGCGAAAGCGUGGGGAGCGAACCGG
rnacentral:rRNA from 1 species